rnacentral:rRNA from 1 species
CCAAUAGCGUAUAUUAAAGUUGUUGCAGUUAAAAAGCUCGUAGUUGAAUUUCGGGAUUAAUAUGCUGGUCGUGCCAUUGGUACGUACUAGUAUUAUUGAUUUCUCCCUUCUGAUAAAUCAUGAUGUCAUUAAUUUGAUGUCAUGGGGAAUCAGGACUGUUACUUUGAAAAAAUUAGAGUGUUUAAAGCAGGCUCGCGCUUGAAUACAUUAGCAUGGAAUA